CUGUUAUUACACCGCGAUUACCGAGCACGUGAAACGCCAAGAGGUUAAUAUAUGAAUAAAAGUUAAAAUAUACCUAGAAGAGUAUUUUGAUUAUUUUUAGUCUGUGUAUUUCUGGUCUUUGUCUCCCAUUAUUACUAUUCAGCUUUGCUUGAUUUUUCAACGACAGUUUUAGAUGUGCUAGAACAAGGGCAGGCUGUGUGACUUUGCGGCAAG